CCUACGGGAGGCAGCAGUGGGGAAUAUUGCGCAAUGGCCGAAAGGCUGACGCAGCGACGCCGCGUGUGGGAGGAAGCCCUUCGGGGUGUAAACCACUGUCGGGGGGAACGAAUCGCGAACGGGCAAAUAGCCCGGACGCUUGACGGUACCUCCAAAGGAAGCACCGGCUAACUCCGUGCCAGCAGCCGCGGUAAU
rnacentral:rRNA from 1 species